rnacentral:lncRNA from 1 species
UUGGUUUACAGCAGGCUCUGAGCAGCUGACCCUGAGGACGUGACUGCCACAGGAGUAGGUGUGGCCCAGCCUGGAGGAGAGCUUGCGGGACCACAGGGAGCAGCCUGUAACUCAACACCCUGUGUCCUCAGUGCUUCCUUCCCCAGAUGGAUCCUUCCUGAGAUUGUCUCCACUCUUUACCCAGGGACUUCAUAAUUGUAUGGAUUCUCUAGGUCAGCAAGCUGGCGGAUGGCAGAAUAGUAAAGGAUUUCAAAUAAUGUAGUGAAGAUUGGAGAGCUGCAAAAUAUAGAACAUCACUUGGAUGGAAAACUAGGAAAAGCAAGUG